rnacentral:tRNA from 1 species
UCUCAGGUGGCUCAGACGGUAAAAAGUGUCUGCCUGCAAUGCAGGAGACCUGGGUUUGAUCCCCUGGAGAA